rnacentral:rRNA from 1 species
CAGCAGCCGCGGGAAUACGAAGGGGGCUAGCGUUGUUCGGAAUUACUGGGCGUAAAGGGCGCGUAGGCGGCCAUUCAAGUUAGAUGUGAAAGCCCUGGGCUCAACCUAGGAAUUGCAUUUGAUACUGUUUGGCUUGAGUUCGGGAGAGGUGAGUGGAAUUCCCAGUGUAGAGGUGAAAUUCGUAGAUACUGGGAAGAACACCAGUGGCGAAGGCGGCUCACUGGACCGACACUGACGCUGAGGCGCGAAAGCGUGGGGAGCAAACAGGAUUAGAUACCCGCGUAGUCCCUGUCUCUUAUAU